UACAGAGGGUGCAAGCGUUAAUCGGAAUUACUGGGCGUAAAGCGUGCGUAGACGGUUAUGUAAGUCGGGUGUGAAAGCCCCGGGCUCAACCUGGGAAUGCCAUUCGAGACUGCAUAGCUAGGGUGCGGAAGAGGGAUGCGGAAUUCCAGGUGUAGCGGUGAAAUGCGUAGAUAUCUGGAGGAACACCGGUGGCGAAGGCGGCAUCCUGGACCAACACUGACGCUGAGGAGCGAAAGCCAGGGGAGCAAACGGG
rnacentral:rRNA from 1 species